rnacentral:rRNA from 1 species
GUGGGGAAUCUUCCGCAAUGGACGAAAGUCUGACGGAGCAACGCCGCGUGAGUGAUGAAGGUCUUCGGAUUGUAAAGCUCUGUUAAUCGGGACGAAAGAGCCUAGUGUGAAUAAUGCUAGGAAGUGACGGUACCGGAAUAGAAAGCCACGGCUAACUACGUGCCAGCAGCCGCGGUAAUACGUAGGUGGCAAGCGUUGUCCGGAAUUAUUGGGCGUAAAGCGCGCGCAGGCGGAUCUGCCAGUCUGUCUUAAAAGUUCGGGGCUUAACCCCGUGAUGGGAUGGAAACUACAGAUCUAGAGUAUCGGAGAGGAAAGUGGAAGUCCUAGUGUAGCGGUGAAAUGCGUAGAUAUUAGGAAGAACACCAGUGGCGAAGGCGACUUUCUGGACGAAAACUGACGCUGAGGCGCGAAAGCCAGGGGAGCGAACGGGAUUAGAUACCCCUGUAGUCC